GGGGAUAUAGAUCAGAGGUAGAAUGCCUGCCUAGCACACAGGAGGGAGUCCUGGGUUCAAUCCCCAGUGUAACCA
rnacentral:tRNA from 1 species